AAAUUAUUUCAAUUUUCUUUCACAAUACUAUUACACUAUAAUUAAAAUUAUUUUUUCAUUAUUCAUUACUAAAACAAAUCUUUUUAUAAUUAUUUUUAAUAAUUUAAAUUUUAAAAAAUAUAAAUUAAUAAAUAAAAUAUAAUCAAUUUAUAUUGAUUUGCACAAAAAUCUUUUCAAUGUAAAUGAAAUGCUUUACUUAAUAAGCUUUAAAUUGCAUUCUAGGUACACUUUCCAGUACAUCUACUAUGUUACGACUUAUCUUACCUUAAUAGUAAGAGUGACGGGCGAUGUGUGCAUAUUUUAGAGCUAAAAUCAAAUUAUUAAUCUUUAUAAUUUUACUAUCAAAUCCACCUUCAAUAAAUAUUUCAAAUUUAUAUCCAUAUAAAUAAAUUUAUUGUAACCCAUUUCUACUUAAAUAUAAGCUACACCUUGAUCUGAUAUAUUUUCUUUUUAAAAAUUAUGAAAAUUAACAUUCUUAUAAAAUAUUCUAAUAACGACGGUAUAUAAACUGAUUACAAAUUUAAGUAAGGUCCAUCGUGGAUUAUCGAUUAUAGAACAGGUUCCUCUGAAUAGACUAAAAUACCGCCAAAUUUUUUAAGUUUCAAGAACAUAACUA
rnacentral:rRNA from 1 species